UACGGAGGGUGCAAGCGUUAUCCGGAAUCACUGGGUUUAAAGGGCGCGUAGGCGGCCAACUAAGUCGGACGUGAAAUCCCCAGGCUCAACCUGGGAACUGCGUCCGAUACUGGAUGGCUUGAAUCCGGGAGAGGGAUGCAGAAUUCCAGGUGUAGCGGUGAAAUGCGUAGAUAUCUGGAGGAAUACCGGUGGCGAAGGCGGCAUCCUGGACCGGCAUUGACGCUGAGGAGCGAAAGCCAGGGGAGCAAACGGG
rnacentral:rRNA from 1 species